GAUGAACGCUGGCGGCGUGCCUAAUACAUGCAAGUCGAGCGAAUGGAUUAAGAGCUUGCUCUUAUGAAGUUAGCGGCGGACGGGUGAGUAACACGUGGGUAACAUGCCCAUAAGACUGGGAUAACUCCGGGAAACCGGGGCUAAUACCGGAUAAUAUUUUGAACUGCAUGGUUCAAAAUUGAAAGGCGGCUUCGGCUGUCACUUAUGGAUGGACCCGCGUCGCAUUAGCUAGUUGGUGAGGUAACGGCUCACCAAGGCAACGAUGCGUAGCCGACCUGAGAGGGUGAUCGGCCACACUGGGACUGAGACACGACCCAGACUCCUACGGGAGGCAGCAGUAGGGAAUCUUCCGCAAUGGACGAAAGUCUGACGGAGCAACGCCGCGUGAGUGAUGAAGGCUUUCGGGUCGUAAAACUCUGUUGUUAGGGAAGAACAAGUGCUAGUUGAAUAAGCUGGCACCUUGACGGUACCUAACCAGAAAGCCACGGCUAACUACGUGCCAGCCGCCGCGGUAA
rnacentral:rRNA from 1 species